rnacentral:lncRNA from 1 species
UGGACGUUGCCGUAGCGCUGCGGGCCUGGUCGGGAUUGUGCUGUUGUUGGCCCGCCCGUUCCAAGUUGAGUAGUGGACCGUUCGGGGCCUGUGCGAAAGCUGGGCUUCAUUGGUUUUCUUUUUCUUUUUUUGCUUGUGCUGUCACUUUGCCAUUUGAGCUGAAUUUUUCUCUUUCUUUUUUUGCUUGUGCUGUCACUUUGCCAUUUGAGCUGAAUUUUUCUCUUUCUUUUUUUGCUUGUGCUGUCACUUUGCCAUUUGAGCUGAAUAAAUGGAGAAACAAGACAGCGAGGGUGUGCAUUCCCGUUUCACUUUUCUGAGUGUAGCGCGGUGCAAAAACAAGCGGGGAUCGAAGGUAAACGUCAGCGGAGAUACAUCAUGCAACGAACCACCAUUUUUUUCUCUUUCUUUUUUUACUUGUGCUGUCACUUUGCCAUUUGAGCUGAAUAAAUGGAGAAACAAGACAACGAGGGUGUGCAUUCCCGUUUCACUUUUCUGAGUGUAGCGCGGUGCAAAAACAAGCGGGGAUCGAAGGUAAACGUCAGCGGAGAUACAUCAUGCGUCCUUCAACUUACGAGAGGAGACAGCAGGGGUUCAAAAUGGAGGAAGGGAAAUUUCAGAAGACUUCAUGCUGAACAGGACUUUGCCUCGGCCUUCUAGACUUACCGGCUGUCAGCAACUCAUCAUUAUGGUAGCGGCACAAAACCGCUUUGCAGUCACAGCAGAACGCAUGAUCAUAGGUUGGUUUUACAGAGCAGCGAUCACUGCCCGCUUCCAAUGGUGGAAGGAUAACGGGCCGCUGCACAUCCUGGCCGCCUUGGGCCUCGCAGCCCACUGCAACGAACCACCAUUUUUUUCUUUUUGUUUUUUUGCUUGUGCUGUCACUUUGCCAUUUGAGCUGAAUAAAUGGAGAAACAAGACAGGGAGGGUGUGCAUUCCCGUUUCACUUUGCUGUCACUUUGCCAUUUGAGCUGAAUAAAUGGAGAAACAAGACAGCGAGGGUGUGCAUUCCCGUUUCACUUUUCUGAGUGUAGCGCGGUGAAAGCUGGGCUUCACGGGCCAUGAUGUGGAAGGCACUGCGCGAGGCUGGUUUCACAGAGCAGCGAUCACUGCCCGCUUCCAACGGUGGAAGGAUAACGGGCAGCUGCACAUCCUGGCCGCCUUGGGCCUCGCAGCCCACUGCAACGAACCACCAUUUUUUCUCUUUCUUUUUUUGCUUGUACUGUCACUUUGCCAUUUGAGUUGAAUAAAUGGAGAAACAAGACAGCGAGGGUGUGCAUUCCCGUUUCACUUUUCUGAGUGUAGCGCGGUGCAAAAACAAGCGGGGAUCGAAGGCAAACGUCAGCGGAAAUACAUCAUGCGUCCUUCAACGUACGAGAGGAGACAGCAGGGGUCCAAAAUGGAGGAAGUGAACUUUCAGAAGACUUGAUGCUGAACAGGACUUUGCCUUGGCCUUCUAGACUUACCGGCUGUCAGCAACUCAUCAUUAUGGUAGUGGCACAAAACCGCUUUGCAGUCACAGCAGAACGCAUGAUCAUAGGUUGGUUUCACAGAGCAGUGAUCACUGCCCGCUUCCAAUGGUGGAAGGAUAACGGGCCGCUGCACAUCCUGGCCGCCUUGGGCCUCGCAACCCACUGCAACGAACCACCAUUUUUUUCUCUUUCUUUUUUUGCUUGUGCUGUCACUUUGCCAUUUGAGCUGAAUAAAUGGAGAAACAAGACAACGAGGGUGUGCAUUCCCGUUUCACUUUGCUGUCACUUUGCCAUUUGAGCUGAAUAAAUGGAGAAACAAGACAGCGAGGGUGUGCAUUCCCGUUUCACUUUUCUGAGUGUAGCGCGGUGCAAAAACAAGCGGGGAUCGAAGGCAAACGUCAGCGGAAAUACAUCAUGCGUCCUUCAACGUACGAGAGGAGACAGCAGGGGUCCAAAAUGGAGGAAGUGAAAUUUCAGAAGACUUGACGCUGAACAGGACUUUGGCUCGGCCUUCUAGACUUACCGGCUGUCAGCAACUCAUCAUUAUGGUAGCGGCACAAAACCGCUUUGCAGUCACAGCAGAACGCAUGAUCAUAGGUUGGUUUCACAGAGCAGCGAUCACUGCCCGCUUCCAACGGUGGAAGGAUAACGGGCCGCUGCACAUCCUGGCCGCCUUGGGCCUCGCAGCCCACUGCAACGAACCAUCAUUUUUUUCUCUUUCUUUUUUUGCUUGUGCUGUCACUUUGCCAUUUGAGCUGAAUAAUGGAGAAACAAGACAGCGAGGGUGUGCAUUCCCGUUUCACUUUGCUGUCACUUUGCCAUUUGAGCUGAAUAAAUGGAGAAACAAGACAGCGAGGGUGUGCAUUCCCGUUUCACUUUUCUGAGUGUAGCGCGGUGCAAAAACAAGCGGGGAUCGAAGGUAAACGUCAGCGGAGAUACAUCAUGCGUCCUUCAACGUACGAGAGGAGACAGCAGGGGUCCAAAAUGGAGGAAGG